GAUGAGCGCUGGCGGCGUGCCUAAUACAUGCAAGUCGAGCGAACGGACGAGAAGCUUGCUUCUCUGAUGUCAGCGGCGGACGGGUGAGUAACACGUGGAUAACCUACCUAUAAGACUGGGAUAACUUCGGGAAACCGUAGCUAAUACCGGAUAAUAUUUUGAACCGCAUGGUUCAAAAGUGAAAGACGGUCUUGCUGUCACUUAUAGAUGGAUCCGCGCUGCAUUAGCUAGUUGGUAAGGUAACGGCUUACCAAGGCAACGAUGCAUAGCCGACCUGAGAGGGUGAUCGGCCACACUGGAACUGAGACACGGUCCAGACUCCUACGGGAGGCAGCAGUAGGGAAUCUUCCGCAAUGGGUGAAAGCCUGACGGAGCAACGCCGCGUGAGUGAUGAAGGUCUUCGGAUCGUAAAACUCUGUUAUUAGGGAAGAACAUAUGUGUAAGUAACUGUGCACAUCUUGACGGUACCUAAUCAGAAAGCCACGGCUAACUACGUG
rnacentral:rRNA from 1 species